CGGCGGACUGGUGAGUAACACGUGGAUAACCUACCUAUAAGACUGGGAUAACUUCGGGAAACCGGAGCUAAUACCGGAUAAUAUAUUGAACCGCAUGGUUCAAUAGUGAAAGACGGUUUUGCUGUCACUUAUAGAUGGACCCGCGGCGUAUUAGCUAGUUGGUAAGGUAACGGCUUACCAAGGCAACGAUACGUAGCCGACCUGAGAGGGUGAUCGGCCACACUGGAACUGAGACACGGUCCAG
rnacentral:rRNA from 1 species